rnacentral:rRNA from 1 species
GAUGAACGCUGGCGGCGUGCCUAAUACAUGCAAGUCGAGCGAACAGACGAGGAGCUUGCUCCUCUGACGUUAGCGGCGGACGGGUGAGUAACACGUGGAUAACCUACCUAUAAGACUGGGAUAACUUCGGGAAACCGGAGCUAAUACCGGAUAAUAUAUUGAACCGCAUGGUUCAAUAGUGAAAGACGGUUUUGCUGUCACUGAUAGAUGGAUCCGCGCCGCAUUAGCUAGUUGGUAAGGUAACGGCUUACCAAGGCAACGAUGCGUAGCCGACCUGAGAGGAUGAGCGGCCACACUGCAACUGAGACACGGCCCAGACUCCUACGAGAGGCAGCAGUAGGGAAUUUUCCGCAAUGGGCGAAAGCCCGACGGAGCAACGCCGCGUGAGUGAUGCAGGUCUUCGGAUCGUAAAACUCUGUUAUUAGGGAAGCACAAAUGUGUAAGUAACUAUUCACGUCUUGACGGUACCUAAUCAGAAAGACACGGCUAACUACGUG